UGUAAAGUACAAUGGUAGAAACAAAAGAGCUUGAAUAAUCCGACUCAAACCUUUUGUUUUUCUCCUACCGUCUCAAAAAAUGUUAUGUACCCCUUAAACAUAUGGUAUUAAAAGAAUACGCAUUUUUCACAUACCAAAAGAUACAUAGCAUCUUUAGAGACUGGGUUAAAGGAGAUUCCUCCAACCCAGUUUGGAGAAAAUUUUUGUCGUUAACAUUUUAGUUUUAGAGAGAAUGGGGGCAUGUUAUUCAAUAUCUAGCUUGCUUAAUUUGACUUUACACUCCUAUUCCUUUGGCUAGAAUGAUUUAAUUAAGGAUGAAACAUGACAAUUUAUGCUAUAAAUAUCAGUACAACUCUUUCUUGUUUGGCAUAAUUAGAACAAAAAACAUGGCUAGAGUUGUCUACUUUGUAGUCUUCAUUGUCCCCGUCCUUCUUACUAGUGUGGAAAUAGCUACGGCUCUUCUUGGAUGUGGGACUUCUACCGCAUAUUGUGAAGUACCAAGUAUCACAUGGCAUGGUGCAUGUAGAAAUUCUGAGCAUUGUGACACCAAAUGCAGGGAGUCUGAGGAUGCCCAUUGUGGAACCUGCACAGGGAUGAUUCGGAGCAAAUGCCACUGUUUUUUCAAAUGUUGAACACAGACAUCUGAAUUAAUCAUGAAAUAUAUGUUGUUAGGAUUUUGUUGCAAUUAAGGAGCAAUGUCUUCAAAUACAUGUUCUCAUGAAUGUGUGCAAUGUUAAUGUAUUUUUCAUUUUGUACUGUA